GCAGACCACGUAACUGAGGCAGAACAUGCUUUUAUAUAAAUGAAGGUUGAUGUACAGAUGUCACAGUGUUGAAGAGGAUGUGCAGCCCUCAGCUGGAAACUUUUUUCAUAGACUGCCGCCUGUUCUAUUCACUGCAGGAGUUCUCCUCAUU